rnacentral:rRNA from 1 species
CGCGUAGGCGGCUGGGUCAGUUUCGUGUGAAAUCCCUCGGCUCAACUGAGGAACUGCACGGAAUACUGCCCGGCUUGAGUUCGGGAGAGGGAAGCGGAAUUCCGGGUGUAGCGGUGAAAUGCGCAGAUAUCCGGAGGAACACCAGUGGCGAAGGCGGCUUCCUGGACCGUGACUGACGCUGAGGCGCGAAAGCUAGGGGAGCGAACG